rnacentral:rRNA from 1 species
UGGCAGACGGGUGAGUAAUAUAUCCGGGAAACGUAUCCAAUAAUGGGGGAUAACUAAUCGAAAGGUUAGCUAAUACCGCAUACGCCCUACGGGGGAAAGCAGGGGGAUCUUCGGACCUUGCGUUAAUGGAGCGGCCGAUAUCAGAUUAGGUAGUUGGUGGGGUAAAGGCUCACCAAGCCGACGAUCUGUAGCUGGUCUGAGAGGACGACCAGCCACACUGGGACUGAGACACGGCCCAGACUCCUACGGGAGGCAGCAGUGGGGAAUUUUGGACAAUGGACGCAAGUCUGAUCCAGCCAUUCCGCGUGCAGGACGAAGGCCUUCGGGUUGUAAACUGCUUUUGUACAGAACGAAAAGGUCCGGGUUAAUACCCUGGGCUCAUGACGGUACCGUAAGAAUAAGCACCGGCUAACUACGUG